AAAACUCCGUUGAUAAAACUCACAGAGUUGAGCACAGGAAUGGGUGUGUUCGGUGACGUGGAGAAAGGGAAACGAAAGCAAACACACUUGUGCAAACUUACCUACCGAGGUUUUGUCCACAGUUGUUGAUUGAGGUAUAUCAGCAGAUUCAGGCAAAAACAUGUUUUGAUGAUCUUUGCCACAAUAAAAAAAAACAGAUUUCCAAUCGUGAUUGGAUUUAUUUCUAUUCUAACCACGCAGGUGAACGAUGAAGCCCAAAUAAGGAUCUGAAGACAACAUACCGAGAGGAGGAAACAUGUCUACAGCCAGAAAGGAGCUACAGGAGGCCUUGUGCCGCUACACUGCAGAUACUCUAAUCUACAUUGACUCUGUGAGAGGAUUCUGUGAGAGGAUCUCUAAAUGGAUGAUUGGGAGGGAGUCAGAGUUGGACAUGAUGAGAGACAUCAAGGACAGGGCUGACGAAAUUGACCUGAACAUUGACCAUGUAACCAAGUCAGAGACCAAAGGAAAAGCCUUUUGGGAAUAUAUAAAGAGCAAGGUGACCCAGGUGACUGCAGACAGCAGGCACGCAGAGCUGGAGAAGGAGUUGGCUGCUGUGCUGAAGGACACUCUGGGAGGCCUGGAGAAGCUUGACUGCUUCCUGGAUUCAGUGGAGAAGCUGGCAGUCACCUCACUUCAUGUGUUCACAGAGAACCAGGUGUUGCAUCUACCAGAAGGGAUCAGCCUUGAAAAUGUUCAGGUUGUCAUCACUGCUGCACGGCUAAUCUGCCCUCUCCUCCUCGAGUUUAAAAGAGAUGCAAAUGUCUUCUUCCUUCCCAGACUUCAGAAUGUGGAAGUGCUAGCAUAUCAGCUGGACAAAUACAUUCAGACCACCCAGAAAAUCUGUGAGAAGCUGGAGAAAAGCUCCUUCUGUGAGUUUGACCUGAAGAUGAUUAUGAAAACUGUGGUAGACCUCGAUGUGGAUUUGUCCGAAGAUGACAUACAAAGGAUGUUGUAUCACAUUAAUCAGCUUGAUGAUAUCAGGAUGAACCAAAACUUCAGGAUGGUGUUCUUGUUCCAGGAGGAAUCAUGUUCUGGCUUCAUCGAUGAGUUCACAGAGCGAAAGCCCAGGAUGCUGGAGUUUCUAAAAGACCUGGAAGAGAGUGCUGUUCAGCUAGACAGAAUGAAUAAGGGGGCAAAGAUCUCCAGCGUGGCAGGCAGCUCAGUGGGGGCAGUUGGAGGUGUGCUUUCCAUUGUUGGUUUGGCAUUAAUCCCUGUAACAGCAGGAUUGUCUCUAGCUCUGACGAUGACUGGGGUAGGGCUGGGAGUUACCAGCGGAGUCAACAGUCUUGUUACCACUGCCACAGAGAUUGGAGUAAACCGUACACAGCAAAAGAAAGCCAGUGAAGUCUUCAAGAGCUUCAUGGAGGAUGUGCAGAUUCUCCAGGAUUGUCUGGAGGAGGUGACCAAAAGGGAAACAAACCCGAUAGAUGUGGCUGUGGGAGUUGGCAAGGUGCUUUGUAAAGCUGGUGUUGUUGGAAAAGGCAUUGAUUCACUUGUUGAUUUGGGCUCUGCUGUUAAGAUGUUGAAAAGUGAGGAGCUGCUUACAAGUGCUGGCAAGGUGGUGGUCCAGGAAGGUAAAGCAUUACGUAACGUUCCGAGGGUGGCCUCAGACAUCCCAGAUAUCGGUCAGGCAGCACUCAAAGGGCCUCUUGCCCUCUCCAAGUCAGCCAGGGUAGGCCUCAUCGCAGCCAAUGCUCUUUUCCUUGGGAUGGAUAUCUUCUUCAUCUGUAAGGACAGCAUCAGUCUGUCCAAAGGCAGUGAGACUGAAUUCUCACAGUUCAUCAGAGCCAGAGCUGCACUCUGGAGCUCAGAGAUAGACUCAUGGCAGAAGAUUCAUGACUCCCUGAGCGAAGGUCUGGUGAGAUCAGGGAAAAACCAAAUCAUCAUGGAGACGCCAUUUUAUCCGGAGAUGGAGACAAAGAAGAACCAGAGAACCAAACCAAACCAAAGAGAACCAGAAAUGGAAAUUCCAUCUGAUGAAGUGGAUGAGGACGAAAAACUGAAACUGAAAGAAAAGUAUUGUGUAAUACAGUAGUACUCUGUGAGGAGAGAUUACUGUGUGCCUUUUUGCCAACUUUAACACUAUGAUCAGAUAUGAGAUAAUUUGAUAUGAUUGAACCAUGUGUGAAAAUGCAACUCUGCUUAUAGCUCACUGUUGAGCAUCAAACAUGUAACAAUGUAUCUUUGAGGGUUUCUUAAUGAUCUGUGAUUUAUAUGACAUAUAUUGAUUGACCUGAUAUAUGGACUGUGUGUUUCUAUCUUGACUGUAUUCAAGAACCCUUUGCCCGUUGCAGAACAUAAUGUAUAUAGGUAUCAUUUAGUAAUCCCUGCUUUACCUGACCUGGGUAAGGUGACCAACUUUACCGUCUCUGCUGACAUCAGAGAAAAAAAACGAGCUGUCCUGUAGAUGCAUUUUUUUUCCAGAGAGGGAGAUGAAGGAACACAGAGACUAAAUUAGAUUUCUAUCUGAGGAAUAUCAGAUAGUGGUCACUAUAUCUGUGGCAACUCAACUUUUUUGUAACUGUAAUUAAUGUAAAUAAACCAGGUAUGAACAUUUAGUCUUGCCAAUAGCAGUAAAGCACUGAUCAGCAUCAAACAUAAGUCUAUCUUUGAUUAAUAUUAGCUCUAUUUGUUAUGACACAGACGAUUUAUUGAGUCCACAUUUGAGCUGAAUCACAUGGGCUGUAUGUUUUUGUUUGAUUGAAUUUAUAUUCCGUUUGUGAAAAACUACUUUACCUUGGAACUGCAGUGGGUUGCAUUUUAAAAUGAUUCAAUAAAUGUUUUCCCAUAUACAAACAUUUGUUGUCUUAGAACACAGAGAUGCCAAAUGUUUUUGUUUCAGAAACUGGAGCCAGUUUUCUAUAGCUGUGGUGUCAGUGGGGGUACCUGCUUUACCUGUCCUUGCAAAGUGUUAUAUUUGUAAUGUUUUAAUUUUACAAUCAAACCUAUCUCUUUUUUUUUACUAAUUUCACUUUAAGCACUUUUUUUCUUGAAUUAUAUUCAAUAAAUGUAUCUAAAUGUAA